UACAGAGGUCUCAAGCGUUGUUCGGAUUCAUUGGGCGUAAAGGGUGUGUAGGUGGCGCCGUUAGUCGGGUGUGAAAUUUCGGAGCUUAACUCCGAAACUGCAUUCGAUACUGCCGUGCUUGAGGACUGGAGAGGAGACUGGAAUUUACGGUGUAGCGGUGAAAUGCGUAGAUAUCGUAAGGAAGACCAGUGGCGAAGGCGGGUCUCUGGACAGUUCCUGACGCUGAGGCACGAAGGCCAGGGGAGCAAACGGG
rnacentral:rRNA from 1 species